UAGUGGCGGACGGGUGAGUAACGCGUGGGCAACCUGCCCUACAGCCUGGGAUACCAUCGGGAAACUGAUGUUAAUACCGGAUACGCUCUUUUGAUCGCAUGACCUAAGGAGGAAAGAUUUAUCGCUGUAGGAUGGGCCCGCGGUCCAUUAGCUAGUUGGUAGGGUAACGGCCUACCAAGGCGACGAUGGAUAGCUGGUCUGAGAGGACGAUCAGCCACACUGGGACUGAGACACGGCCCAGACUCCUACGGGAGGCAGCAGUGGGGAAUAUUGCGCAAUGGGGGCAACCCUGACGCAGCAAUGCCGCGUGAAGGAUGAAGGCUUUCGGGUCGUAAACUUCUGUCUAGAGGGAUGAAUAAUGACAGUACCUCUGGAGGAAGCCCCGGCUAACUACGUGCCAGCAGCCGCGGUAAUACGUAGGGGGCAAGCGUUGUCCGGAAUCACUGGGCGUAAAGCGCGCGUAGGUGGUCUAGUAAGUCAGAUGUUAAAAUGCGGGGCUCAACCCCGUAAUGCAUUUGAAACUGCUGGACUUGAGGACAGGAGAGGAAAGUGGAAUUCCUAGUGUAGCGGUGAAAUGCGUAGAUAUUAGGAGGAACACCAGUGGCGAAGGCGACUUUCUGGACUGU
rnacentral:rRNA from 1 species